GGAGGGUGCAAGCGUUAAUCGGAAUUAUUGGGCGUAAAGGGCGCGUAGGCGGUCCGAAAAGUCAGACGUGAAAUCCCAGGGCUCAACCCUGGAACAGCACCUGAAACUUUCAGACUAGAGGGUAGGCGGAGAAAACGGAAUUCCACAAGUAGCGGUGAAAUGCGUAGAUAUGUGGAAGAACACCGGUGGCGAAGGCGGUUUUCUAGCUUAUUCCUGACGCUGAAGCGCGAAAGCAAGGGGAUCAAACAGGAUUAGAUACCCUGGUAGUCCUUGCCGUAAACUAUGUAUACUUGGUGUAACUGGACUCAACCCCAGUUGUGCCGUAGCUAACGCGAUAAGUAUACCGCCUGGGGAGUACGCUCGCAAGGGUG
rnacentral:rRNA from 1 species